rnacentral:lncRNA from 1 species
CUGCCGCCGCUCCCACUAGCGAUCCUUCACCGGACGCACCGCCGGCACCAACGCCCGAGCCACCAGCACCUCUUACGGCACCGCUAGCGGCCCCCGCCGUCGCUACACCCACUAUGCCGCCAUCUUCAUCCUCUCAGGGUGGUCAUCACAUGCAAACGCGCAGCAAAAAUAACAUAUUUACGCCCAACAAGAAGUUUGGUAUGUCUGCUGUAACCUCUCC